rnacentral:misc_RNA from 1 species
GAAUUUUAUCCAUCUUCCACCAAGUUUGGAACUCUAAAUCCACCCUCUAUAUAUAUAUUCUCUUUAACGUUCAAUGGGGGGGAUAAUUUUUUGGGGGGAGAUUUUAGUCUAGAGAAUUCUUGGAUAUAAAAAAAAUUAAAGAGAUUUAGUUUGGUCUUUGGUGAAGAGAACCUGUUGAGUACUUGAAAAAGAUCGAGAGAAUAGUCAAUUCUGGUCCUGUUUUCUCUUUUUCAUUUUGCUGCCAAAGCUCUUCAUUUUGUACGAGUUUUUGUUCUUUGUUCGGGUUUGUGUUGGUGUGGAAGUUUCCGCCCUUUCAAGAUCGUUCGUCUCCCAGUCGCUGGGGAGAAAGUCCAUUUGGACUCCAUUUCCCUCCUCGCAUACCUUGUUUGAGACACAUAGGCUCAAACCUUUACCCCAAGUCGGUCAUACCCCUCUCGAAACUGCUGGACAGGUUAAGAGCAGCAUUACACUGCUGGAAAUUAGUUUUCCAGCCCCGGAAGGUCAAAGAACAGGCUGAUAUAUCUGAUUUAUACAAUAAUAUACAAUCAAAAAAAAUGAUAUACAGGUCAAAACGUUCUACUACAGGAUAAAAAAGCAAAAAAUACGAAAAUCCUUAUAAACUACAGGUUUUGGAGUCCGAGAAUCAAUGAUAUACAUGGUGUAUACGCCAAAUAUACACUUUUUGUAUACCAUGGUAAAUGAGAAUGAAAGGGGACUGAGAGCCCAAGAAGAAAUUCCAAUAACAUUUGAACAGGCCCAAACAAUUUUGGGUCACUUUUAGGGUAGGACAGGUCAUUGAAUUUGGAAUUUGGGCUAAAAGCACAAGUUCAAUAUCUCUAUUUUCUAAUUCUACUCCCUUUUAUUGUAUUUUGACUAACUUUCU